GGUCUUCCGGUUUCAUGGUGAAAUGCAUGGGAUUUUGCAGAGGAGCUUGAGGAGGUGGUGUCUGAUUUACACAGGGCCUGAGAGGUUGGUCGGACCAGGCAUACCAUUUGCAUAGUGUGCAAAGAAGAUGGCUAUCCCACCCUAAUCUUUGAUUAUGCAGAUGGGGUCUCUACCUGGCUGGUGCCAUGUUGUCUGCUUUUUUACUGCACAUGUGGUGACAAAGAAAAGGAAAAAGAGGAUCUCCGUGCUGAAUAUACCUGCCUUCCAGUACUGCCUGUAAGGUCUGCUUUGACAAGGAAAUCUGUAAGACCCUGCCAACAUCAUUUUGCAUAGCAAGAGCCCCUCUCUGUGUUACAAUCUGGAGAAAAACCGUCCUCAGCUCAUCUUCGUCAUCGUCAUCCAGCAGCCCAUACUUAAAUUUCCGGUAGACUGUGCCAUCCUGGCCCAUGUAGACGAUGUCAUCAUCAUCAUCCUCAUCAUAGUCCCG